GAGCACAUGGGCCCGCGGGCCGGGCGGGCUCGGGGCGGCCGGGACGAGGAGGGGCGACGACGAGCUGCGAGCAAAGAUGUGCCCCGGGACCCCCGGCACCUUCCAGUGGAUUUCCUUGCGGAAAGGAUGUUGGCGGUCCCUGUGACCUGUGGAGACACGGCCAGAUCUGCCCUCCAGCCUGAUCUUUUGGCCAGAAGGAGAUUAAAAAGAUGCCCCUCAAGAUGGCUGUGCCUGUCAGCUGCAUGGAGCUUCGUUCAAGUAUUUUCUGAGCCUGAUGGAUUUACAGUGAUCUUCAGUGGUCUGGGGAAUAACGCUGGUGGAACCAUGCACUGGAAUGACACACGCCCGGCACAUUUCAGGAUACUAAAAGUGGUUUUAAGGGAGGCUGUGGCUGAAUGCCUCAUGGAUUCUUACAGCUUGGAUGUCCAUGGGGGACGAAGGACUGCAGCUGGCUGAGAGGGUUGAGAUCUCUGUUUACUUAGAUCUCUGCCAACUUCCUUUGGGUCUCCCUAUGGAAUGUAAGACCCCGACUCUUCCUGGUGAAGCAUCUGAUGCACGUUCCAUCCGGCGCUCAGCUGGGCUUGAGCUGACCAUACUCCCUGGAGCCUUCUCCCGAGGUGCGCGGGUGACCUUGGCACAUACAGCCAUCAUGAUGGUACUUUAAGUGGAGGCUGAAUCAUCUCCCCUUUGAGCUGCUUGGCACGUGGCUCCCUUGGUGUUCCCCUUUUACUGCCAGGACACUGAGAUUUGGAGAGAAUCCUGUUACACCUGGGAUUUAGGCACUUUCAAUCUGAAAAAAUACAUAUCCUUUCAGCACUCUGGACGGACUUGAGAACUGUCCUUACGUGACCUAAAGCUGGAGUAUUUUGAGAUUGGAGAAUUAAGAGCCAGUCUUGGUGCUCUGUGUUCACCUGGUUCAUCUGAGGAGCUGCAUCUACCCUGCCCAUGCCAUAGAUCCUGCCCUGUUUGCUUCUCCUGUUGCUGCUAGUGGACAUGAGAAGGACAGAAUAACGGGCUCCCAGAUUCACAAGCCCCACCAAGAGGAUCACCCCAGGAACGCUUGGAGGCUGAGGAGUUCACUGAGGCUACUGCAUCUUGAGACUCAGGAUGAAGACCCAGCUUGGGGCUGUCAAAGGUUUUUUGCAUGUCUGACACCCAUGACUCCACCUGGACCUUAUGGCUCCACCCAGAAGCAAUUCAGCCCAACAGGAGGACAGCUUCAACCCAUUACGAUUUCAUCUCUGCCCCAACCACUCAGCAGCAAGCACCUGUUACCUGUCCACCCCCACCCCUUCCCCCAAACUGCCUUUGAAAAAUCCCUAACCUAUGAGCUUUGAAUAAGAUGAGUACGAACUUCAUCGCCCACGUGGCGUGGCCGGCCUCGUGUCUAUUAAAUUCUUUUUCUACUAC
rnacentral:lncRNA from 1 species